rnacentral:rRNA from 1 species
GACGAACGCUGGCGGCGUGCUUAACACAUGCAAGUCGAACGGAAAGGCCCUGCUUUUGUGGGGUGCUCGAGUGGCGAACGGGUGAGUAACACGUGAGUAACCUGCCCUUGACUUUGGGAUAACUUCAGGAAACUGGGGCUAAUACCGGAUAGGAGCUCCUGCUGCAUGGUGGGGGUUGGAAAGUUUCGGCGGUUGGGGAUGGACUCGUGGCUUAUCAGCUUGUUGGUGGGGUAGUGGCUUACCAAGGCUUUGACGGGUAGCCGGCCUGAGAGGGUGACCGGCCACAUUGGGACUGAGAUACGGCCCAGACUCCUACGGGAGGCAGCAGUGGGGAAUAUUGCACAAUGGGCGGAAGCCUGAUGCAGCAACGCCGCGUGCGGGAUGACGGCCUUCGGGUUGUAAACCGCUUUCGCCUGUGACGAAGCGUGAGUGACGGUAAUGGGUAAAGAAGCACCGGCUAACUACGUGCCAGCAGCCGCGGUGAUACGUAGGGUGCGAGCGUUGUCCGGAUUUAUUGGGCGUAAAGGGCUCGUAGGUGGUUGAUCGCGUCGGAAGUGUAAUCUUGGGGCUUAACCCUGAGCGUGCUUUCGAUACGGGUUGACUUGAGGAAGGUAGGGGAGAAUGGAAUUCCUGGUGGAGCGGUGGAAUGCGCAGAUAUCAGGAGGAACACCAGUGGCGAAGGCGGUUCUCUGGGCCUUUCCUGACGCUGAGGAGCGAAAGCGUGGGGAGCGAACAGGCUUAGAUACCCUGGUAGUCCACGCUGUAAACGGUGGGUACUAGGUGUGGGGUCCAUUCCACGGGUUCCGUGCCGUAGCUAACGCUUUAAGUACCCCGCCUGGGGAGUACGGCCGCAAGGCUAAAACUCAAAGGAAUUGACGGGGCCCCGCACAAGCGGCGGAGCAUGCGGAUUAAUUCGAUGCAACGCGUAGAACCUUACCUGGGUUUGACAUGGAUCGGGAGUGCUCAGAGAUGGGUGUGCCUCUUUUGGGGUCGGUUCACAGGUGGUGCAUGCCUGUCGUCAGCUCGUGUCGUGAGAUGUUGGGUUAAGUCCCGCAACGAGCGCAACCCUUGUUCACUGUUGCCAGCACGUUAUGGUGGGGACUCAGUGGAGACCGCCGGGGUCAACUCGGAGGAAGGUGGGGAUGACGUCAAGUCAUCAUGCCCCUUAUGUCCAGGGCUUCACGCAUGCUACAAUGGCUGGUACAGAGAGUGGCGAGCCUGUGAGGGUGAGCGAAUCUCGGAAAGCCGGUCUCGGUUCGGAUUGGGGUCUGCAACUCGACCUCAUGAAGUCGGAGUCGCUAGUAAUCGCAGAUCAGCAACGCUGCGGUGAAUACGUUCCCGGGGCU